UUCGGGGGAAAGAUUUAUCGCCUUUAGAGCGGCCCGCGUCUGAUUAGCUAGUUGGUGAGGUAAAGGCUCACCAAGGCGACGAUCAGUAGCUGGUCUGAGAGGAUGAUCAGCCACACUGGGACUGAGACACGGCCCACACUCCUACGGGAGGCAGCAGUGGGGAAUCUUGCGCAAUGGGCGAAAGCCUGACGCAGCCAUGCCGCGUGAAUGAUGAAGGUCUUAGGAUUGUAAAAUUCUUUCACCGGGGACGAUAAUGACGGUACCCGGAGAACCAGCCCCGGUUAACUUCGUGCCAGCAGCCGCGGCAAUACGAAGGGGGCUAGCGUUGCUCGGAAUUACUGGGCGUAAAGGGCGCGUAUGCGGAUCGUUUAGUCAGAGGUGAAAUCCCAGGGCUCAACCCUGGAAUUGCCUUUUGAUACUGGCGAUCUUGAGUGUGAGAGAGGUAUGUGGAACUCCGAGUGUAGAGUUUGAAAAUUCGUAGAUAUUCGCGAAGAACACCAGUGGCGAAGGCGACAUACUGAGCUCAUUACUGACGCUGAGGCGCCGAAAGCGUGGGCGAGCAAACAGGAUCAGAUACCUCUGGUAGUCCACGCCGCAAAACGAUGAA
rnacentral:rRNA from 1 species